UGGGGAAUAUUGGACAAUGGGCGAAAGCCUGAUCCAGCCAUGCCGCGUGUGUGAAGAAGGUCUUCGGAUUGUAAAGCACUUUAAGUUGGGAGGAAGGGUAGUAACUUAAUACGUUGCUACUUUGACGUUACCGACAGAAUAAGCACCGGCUAACUUCGUGCCAGCAGCCGCGGUAAUACGAAGGGUGCAAGCGUUAAUCGGAAUUACUGGGCGUAAAGCGCGCGUAGGUGGUUCAGUAAGUUGGAAGUGAAAUCCCCGGGCUCAACCUGGGAACUGCUUUCAAAACUGCUGAGCUAGAGUACGGUAGAGGGUGGUGGAAUUUCCUGUGUAGCGGUGAAAUGCGUAGAUAUAGGAAGGAACACCAGUGGCGAAGGCGACCACCUGGACUGAUACUGACACUGAGGUGCGAAAGCGUGGGGAGCAAACA
rnacentral:rRNA from 1 species